rnacentral:rRNA from 1 species
CGUGUAGGCGGUUUGUUAAGUCUGAUGUGAAAGCCCCGGGCUCAACCUGGGAAGUGCAUUGGAUACUGGCAGACUUGAAUACGGGAGAGGGUAGUGGAAUUCCUGGUGUAGGAGUGAAAUCCGUAGAUAUCAGGAGGAACACCGGUGGCGAAGGCGGCUGCCUGGACCGAUAUUGACGCUGAGACGCGAAAGCGUGGGGAGCAAACAGGAUUAGAUACCCUGGUAGUCCACGCCGUAAACGAUGAGUACUAGGUGUUGCGGGUAUUGACCCCUGCAGUGCCGCAGCUAACGCAUUAAGUACUCCGCCUGGGAAGUACGGUCGCAAGACUAAA